rnacentral:rRNA from 1 species
AUUGAACGCUGGCGGAAUGCUUUACACAUGCAAGUCGAACGGCAGCACGGACUUCGGUCUGGUGGCGAGUGGCGAACGGGUGAGUAAUGUAUCGGAACGUGCCCAGUCGUGGGGGAUAACGUAGUGAAAAUUACGCUAAUACCGCAUACGAUCUAUGGAUGAAAGCGGGGGAGCGCAAGACCUCGCGCGAUGGGAGGGGCCGAUAUCAGAUUAGGUAGUUGGUGGGGUAAGGGCCCACCAAGCCAACGAUCUGUAGCUGUUCUGAGAGGACGACCAGCCACACUGGAACUGAGACACGGUCCAGACUCCUACGGGAGGCAGCAGUGGGGAAUUUUGGACAAUGGGCGAAAGCCUGAUCCAGCCAUUCCGCGUGCAGGAUGAAGGCCCUCGGGUUGUAAACUGCUUUUGUACAGAACGAAAAGGUUUCUACUAAUACUAGGAGCUCAUGACGGUACUGUAAGAAUAAGCACCGGCUAACUACGUGCCAGCCGCCGCCGUAA